rnacentral:rRNA from 1 species
GAUGAACGCUGGCGGCGUGCCUAAUACAUGCAAGUCGAACGAAACUUCUUUAUCACCGAGUGCUUGCACUCACCGAUAAAGAGUUGAGUGGCGAACGGGUGAGUAACACGUGGGCAACCUGCCCAAAAGAGGGGGAUAACACUUGGAAACAGGUGCUAAUACCGCAUAACCAUAGUUACCGCAUGGUAACUAUGUAAAAGGUGGCUAUACUACCGCUUUUGGAUGGGCCCGCGGCGCAUUAGCUAGGUGGUAGGGUAAAGGCUUACCAAGGCAAUGAUGCGUAGCCGAAUUGAGAGGUUGAUCGGCCACAUUGGGACUGAGACACGGCCCAAACUCCUACGGGAGGCAGCAGUAGGGAAUCUUCCACAAUGGGCGAAAGCCUGAUGGAGCAACGCCGCGUGGGUGAAGAAGGUCUUCGGAUCGUAAAACCCUGUUGUUAGAGAAGAAAGUGCGUGAGAGUAACUGUUCACGUUUCGACGGUAUCUAACCAGAAAGCCACUGCUAACUACGUG